rnacentral:lncRNA from 10 species
GUGUAGGUCAAGACAAAUGUCAGGGCCAAUAAAGGAUGAAACACUGAAAGACAGGAGAGAAGUGCUGUGAGGUAGCAAAGACAGCACUCUUCCUGAGAGUAGACAAAGGCCAGCCUCAGGCUUCUCAUCACCAGAGAAACAGAUCUUAAGCACAAAGUAGUUAGAAGACACACUGAAAUUUGGAACACUUUUUUUUUUUUUUUUUUGUCUAAACAGGUCACACCCAAAGCCCCAAGGAAACAACAGGAAUCUAUCCGAAUACGCAGAAACAAAUACAAUAGUUUUCUCAAUGUGGUAAAACAAAGGAAAACUAUAAACAAAACAGAUACAAGGAAAGAACACUAAGAUUUCUAAACACCCCCAAUGUGAAAGAUGCUUUAAUUGACAAGUUCCCUGCUUUCUUUCUUUAAUGCUCAUUACAACACUAUGAGGCAGAAUUUUCUUCACAGUUUUCAAGAUAAAGAAUCUGAGUCUCAGAGAGACACCCAGACUGUAGGUGGUAGGCCAGGUCUUUGCACAGAGAUUUUUUCUGAUUUCACAAUUUCAUAUCACUCUAUGACAUAUAUUGAGUCAAUGACAGGUGACUUGUCCUUUUCGAUAUUAGGUUAUUUAUUUGACCAUAACUGAAUAAUGCCAAAGAGGCUUGAGAGACUUAAAUGUGAAAAGGUACUACAUUACUUGGAUGUACUACUUAAAUUAAUAACUUAUGCAUAUUUGAAGGCAGACAUUCAAGUGUAAUGUUCAGAUAUCACAUCUUUCAAAUUUUACAACAUUUACAUGUUGUAGUUUCUGGAUGAAGCAUUUUAUUUAUUUAUUUAUUUAUUUAUUUAUUUAUUUAUUUAUUUUGGGACAGGGUCCCUCUGUGCCAUCCAGGCUGGAGUGCAGUGGCAUGAUCAUAGCUCACUGCAGCCUCGACCUUCCAGGCUCAAGAGAUCCUCCUGCUUCAGCUUCCUGAGCAGCUGGGACCGCAGGCAUGUGCCAUCAAGCCUUCUAUUCUAUUUUUCAUCUACCAGAAUCCAGCAAACUUCAUAUAUUAUUUUCAUUACUAUUGAGGGCUUCUAGGUAUAACUUCGGUAUUCUACUUUUUGUUUUAAAUUUUUGUUUGUCCAUACCUCAGAUAAUAAUCAAAUCAAGAUGAUCCAGUACACAGUUAACAAAACAAUUACAAUGUCCGUAAAAUAUCAAAUAAAGACUAAAACAUAUGAAUAUGUUGGUCUGAAAAUAUAUAGCGUAUUCAGCUAAUUUUUGGAAAACACCAGUUGUAUUUCUGUAUCAUCCCAAAUAUCGCCUUCUCUAAAGAUAUUCUCAUAAUUUAUAAAGUGAAAAUUCAAAUAUCUAAGGUGAAAUGUAGUGUGAUAAAUAUAGGUAUAUGUGUAUUAAAUUCGUACCUAGGUUAUCAUUGCAUAUCAAGAUGAAACCACAUUUAUCUAUUUUAUAUGGAUAUACAUAAAAUAGAUAUGAACUUAAGCAUUUAUCUCUCCAUUUAAGAUAUAAACAAAAUAGAUAAGAACUUAAGUAUUUAUCUUCCCAUUUGGGAUAUAAAUAGAUAUAAACUUAAGUAUUUAUGAAAGAUUCCUUUAUAUCUACAAUAUAAUAUAUAGAUUAAAUUGUAUCACAUUACCAACCAUUAGUAACAGAUGAGGUGAUUUUAUAAAUUAUAGAAGGGAGAAAAUAAUAGUGGGUUUUAUGGCCCAUAUAAUUCCUUUUAGGGUUUGGCCAGACUAGUGACUAAACAAGUAGAAGCUUAUAGAAUUAAUUAAGAUUGUAUAUAUACUAUUAAAUGUCGAUUUGAAUAGGAAUGUUUGGUUAAAAAAGAGGUGAUUAAAAAAAGUCAGCAGGACAUCCUCAUCAAGAGUGAUUAAUAAGAACCACAGCCAUGUGCAAGUGACCUUAACGGAAGACAUGAUGUCCCCUGUCCAGCUAUGGACUUCUCUGAUGCAGUAGGGACCUUCCCAAUGGCCUCAAGAUAGAGAUGAUUAUAUGACUGAAGGGAUGCACUGAUGGAAGUAUAACCUCUCCACUGGCAAGAAGAAAGUAAGGCAGUGUUAACAGGACACCUAGAGCAUGCCAAUGUAAGUUCCUCACUCCUUUAUAGAUUGUGUGGCCUAUUUUUAGUCUAGGCACCUGCCUCUUUCCCCCUCUACUUAUCAUCUACCCUGUGCAUAAUGAGAAAUGUGAGAAGCAGCAGUAAAACAAGUUUUUCUAUUUGGCCAGAAAAAUAGGUUUAAAUCCAUUUAUUGUCUCAGUCACAACCAACAUGAAAGUAUGUAAAUAAGAUCUGCAGUAAUUUUUUAGGCCAUGCAGCAACUUUUGGUGAACAUUAAGCUAGUUAGUAAUAAUUUUUAAUGUGCGAAUUAAUCUGUAUAUGUCUAAGUGACAUCCAACCAUUAGCUAGUGUAUAAUGACAGUCUUCAUGUUAACUAAUAUCUCUUUUACACAAAGUUUGCAGAAAGCUAAUGUGCUGUUCUGAACACACACUAUUCUAAUAUCAAACAGUGAAAAAGAUUUAAGUAGAAACGCAAACCAUAUAUAUAUAUAUACACAUGGUUACACUAUAUAUAUAUAUAUACAUGGUUACACUAUAUAUAUAUACACACUAUAUAUGUACACUAUACAUAUACACUAUAUAUAUACACUAUAUA